rnacentral:rRNA from 1 species
GACGGAGGAUGCAAGCGUUAUCCGGAAUGAUUGGGCGUAAAGCGUCCGCAGGUGGCAGUUCAAGUCUGCUGUCAAAGACCGGGGCUUAACUUCGGAAAGGCAGUGGAAACUGAACAGCUAGAGUAUGGUAGGGGCAGAGGGAAUUCCUGGUGUAGCGGUGAAAUGCGUAGAGAUCCGGAAGAACACCGGUGGCGAAGGCGGUUGGCUGGGCCGUUGCUGACACUGAUGCGCGACAGCGUGGGGAGCAAACAGG